rnacentral:lncRNA from 1 species
AAACACUGAAAAUGUAAGUGAAGUCUAUUGGAUUUUAUUUUUCAAUGUGCAAUGUAUUGUAUGUGUAAUUAUUUAUCUGUGUUUUAAAUUUACAGGAAGAUGUGGAUGCUGAGAAUGAGCAAAAUAAUUUUGAGGAUUCGGGGGUCGAUAACGUGAGUCAGGUUCGUUCAAACUUUUUUGUACCACGUAUGGUAGUUUGUAAUAGAUGGUAAUAACUGACAUAGUUUCAUAUGUAAUUUUGUAGGAGGACUCAAGAUGGUCCUGAUGGUUCUGAAGACGGAGCAGAGAUGGACAUUGAGGAGGCUCAAUACCAGCAGCAGAUGUUGGAGACACAUUGGAAGAUUAUGGCUACGACUUUUCGGUCCCAAGGGCAAUUUAACAUUGAAAGGUUAAGCGAAUCUGUUAUGAUUCUGAAUCCUGUUUCUAGACAGGGACUAAGGUUCCUCGUAUAUAAGAAAUCACAAUCCAAG